AGUGUGCCCCGGACGCAGUGUCCUAGUGCUCGAUUGGGUUAUCCUCUGCAGCUCCGAUUGUCUCUGUCCAAGACUGCGGAAUGAAGAAUCCAGCUUUGAGAACCUGUGUGUAAGCCUUCUCUGGUCAGCAAAGGAAUCUGUGCAGAGCGCCAUGAAUUAGAGGAUGGGGGAAUGAGUGCUUGAAGAUGCCCGAGGUCCAGGUGAGAAAUCAGGGUUGAAAACUUCAUGGAGGAUUCAUCAUUUCUGCCCUGAAUUGGAAUCAAUUCCUUAUUGACUUAUUAUUACUGUAUUAAAAGUGUUUUUAAUUAA
rnacentral:lncRNA from 1 species